rnacentral:lncRNA from 1 species
CAAGAAAAGCAGAAAACCCAGACCAAGAAUUCAAGAGAGGAGACAAAAUCUGAUAAAAAAAUGUCCUUUGAACUGCGAAAGUAGAACCCACCUCAGUAAGAAGAUCUGAUCACAAAGAUAUGAGACCCAAUUAUUAAUAUGAAGAACCCAGCUUUUUUGCCAAGAAGCUGCUUCUUGGGCAAGUUGAAAAUAUCAAGAAAAGUGAAGCAUUGAGCAAACAAAUGAAUCUUGUGGGCACUUUGCUUGCUAAUGAUGACGAACAAGCCAAUGAAGAAAUUUGGAAGAGAAGAGAGUGUUG